rnacentral:rRNA from 1 species
GGCGGACGGGUGAGUAACCGCGUGGGCAACCUGCCCAGUGGUGGGGCGAUAACUGCGGGAACACUGCAGCUAAUACCGCAUGAGCCCGACGACGGGGAAAUGAUUUAUCGCCAUUGGACGGGGCCCGCGCUUCGAUUAGGUAGUUGGUGAGUGUAAUGGCUCACCAAGCCGACGAUCGAUAGCUGGUCUGAGAGAGAUGAUCAGCCACACUGGGACUGAGAUACGGCCCAGACGUCCUACGGGACGGCAGCAGUGGGGAAUAUUGGCACAAUGGGGGCAACCCUGAUCCAGCAAUGCCGCGUGAGUGAUGAAGUGCCUUCGGGUUGUAAAGCUCUUUUGCCAGGGACGAUGAUAGACGGUACCUGGAGAAUAAGCCCCUGGCUAACUUCGUGCCAGCCAGCCGCGG